rnacentral:rRNA from 1 species
GAACUUUGAAGACUGAAGUGGGGAAGGGUUCCAUGUGAACAGUAAAUGGACAUGGGUUAGUCGUUCCUAAGGUUCAAGGGAAAGUCUAUGCAGUUUGGCAUUGCCUUGUGAUCCGAAAGGGGAUGGGGUUAACAUUCCUCAACCUGAGCAUGGGUAUUUGUAUGGUAACAUGAAGGAAGUUGGUGACACAGGCACGAGUCCUUGGAAGUGUUGUCUUUGCUUCUUAACCUUCAAGCACCCUGGAAUCAGUUUCGCUGGAGAGAGGGUUUAUUGAAGGGCAGAGUGUCCCAACCUUCGGGAUGCUUGGUGCGCUCGUGUCUGUCCUUGAAAAACCAACCGACAGUUUUAUCUCACCUCAGUGCGUACCCACAACCGCAUCAGGUCUCCAAGGUGAGCAGCCUCUGGUAAAUAGAAUAAAGUAGGUAAGGGAAGUCGG